CCUACGGGAGACAGCAGUGGGGAAUAUUGGGCAAUGGACCCAAGCCUGACCCAGCAACGCCGCGUGAAGGAAGAAGGCCCUCGGGUUGUAAACUUCUUUUAACAGGGACGAAGAAAGUGACGGUACCUGUUGAAUAAGCCACUGCUAACUACGUGCCAGCAGCCGCGGUAAUACGUAGGUGGCAAGCGUUAUCCGGAUUUACUGGGUGUACAGGGCGUGUAGGCGGGAGAGCAAGUCAGACGUGAAAUUCCAGGGCUCAACCCCGGAACUGCGUUUGAAACUGUUCGUCUUGAGUGAUGGUGAGGCAGGCGGAAUUCCGUGUGUAGCGGUGAAAUGCGUAGAUAUACGGCGGAACACCAGUGGCGAAGGCGGCCUGC
rnacentral:rRNA from 1 species